rnacentral:rRNA from 1 species
AGUUUGAUUCUGGCUCAGAUUGAACGGCGGGAUGCUUUACAUGCAAGUCGAACGGCAGCACGGACUUCGGUCUGGUGGCGAGUGGCGAACGGGUGAGUAAUGUAUCGGAACGUGCCUAAGUGGCAGGGGGAUAACUACGCGAAAGCGUAGCUAUUACCGCAUACGCCCUUCGGGGAAAGCGGGGACCUUCGGGCUCUGCCACUAUUAGAGCGGCCGAUAUCGGAUGGCUAGUUGGUGGGGUAACGGCUCACCAAGGCGACGAUCAAGUAGCUGGUUUGAGAGGACGACCAGCCACACUGGGACUGGGGCCGGCAGACUCCUACAGGAGGCAACGGUGGGGAAUUUUGGACAAUGGGGAAACCCCCUGGUCAGCCAUCCCGCGGUGCGAUGAAGAUAUUCCGGGUUGUAAAGCACUUUUGGCAGGAAAAACGGCGCAGGAUGUACCCCGUGCAACUGACAGUACAGAAUAAGCACCGGCUAACUACGUGCCAGCAGCCGCGGUAAUACGUAGGGUGCAGAAAGCGGUAAUCGGAAUUACUGGGCGUAAAGCGUGCGCAGCGGUUUCCGGAAAGAAAGAUGUGAGAAAUCCCAGAGCUUAACUGGAACUGCAUUUUUAACUACCGAGCUAAGUGUGUCAGAAGGGAGGUGGAAUUCCGCGUGUAGCAGUGAAAUGCGUAGAUUGCGGAGGAACACCGAUGGCGGCAGCCUCCUGGGAUAACACUGACGCUCAUGCACAGCGAUGGGGAGCAAACAGGAUUAGAUACCUGAUGAACCACGCCCCUAAACAGUGUCAACUAGCUGUUGGGGCCUUCGGGCCUUGGUAGCGCAACUAACGCGUGAAGUUGACCGCCUGGGAGUACGGUCGCAAGAUUAAAACUCAAAGGAAUUGACGGGGACCCACACAAGCAGUGGAUGAUGUGGAUUAAUUCGAUGCAACGCGAAAAACCUUACCUACCCUUGACAUGUCUGGAAUCCCGAAGAGAUUUAGGGAGUGCUCGCAAGAGAACCGGAACACAGGUGCUGCAUGGCUGUGGUAGCUCGUGUCGUGAGAUGUUGGGUUAAGUCCCGCAAGCUACGAGCGCAACCCUUGUCAUUAGUUGCUACGAAAGGGCACUCUAAUGCCGGUGACAAACCGGAGGGAGGAAGGUGGGGAUGACGUCAAGUCCUCAUGGCCCUUAUGGGUAGGGCUUCACACGUCAUACAAUGGUCGGGACAGAGGGUCGCCAACCCGCGAGAGGUAAUCCCAGAAACCCGAUCGUAGUCCGGAUCGCAGUCUGCAACUCGACUGCGUGAAGUCGGAAUCGCUAGUAAUCGCGGAUCAGCAUGUCGCGGUGAAUACGUUCCCGGGUCUUGUACACCGCCCGUCACACGUAGGAGUGGGUUUUACCAGAAGUAGUUAGCUAUGCGUAUCAGGAGGGCGAUUACGGUAGGAUUCAUGACUGGGGUGAAGUCGUAACAAGACGG